AUGUCGCCUUUCUCUGGAGCAUCGCUGGCUAGGUCUCUAAGCCCAGACACUCACCCCCGUCACCAUAGGCUUCACCCUUCUCUAGAUCCACCGCUUCUUCCCCUACCCCCAGAUCCACCAGCUUCCCUAGCCUCUCCAACCCUCGAGUUCUUCCCUCCUGUUGGUCCUUCCCGUCUGCCCCCUACUCUUCCUAGCCUGGGCGUCCCUGCUUCAGAUCCAGCUUUCGUCAGCAGAAGAGAUCGGGUUCCGGGGACGGGCUGCCCUUUCCGGUCUGCGGUAUCCUUGCCAGAUCUGCAGAAUACGAUGCUGGAUUCGAGUUCUGCUCCAAAUCCUCGCCUGUCUUCUCGAUGUCAAGGUUCGCCGAAAGGUGAACUGCCGGGAUUCAAGCGUCUUUACUCCGAUGUAGUUACUGCUCCUCCUCAACCUCCAGCUGCCAAGUCUUUAGAUUUCAUUGCAGUGCAGCCUCCCUCAAGAUUUUCAGGGGCAGUAGCAAAGGACAUAAGGAUCCUGCAGAGUGGACGAUCCAGCUGUAGCAAGAAGUUUGCCUAUAAGUCCACCUUGCCUCCUCUGAAGACUCACACUGAAGCUUUUCCUGCUCUUGCUCCUCUUUGUUUUCCCCCACGAUCGUUUCCAUCCCCUCCCAAGUCCCCGAUCAUGGACGACCUCACAGCUCGUCCCCUCCUCGACUCGGUGGUGAUCUCGGCCACAGGGGAGAUCGAGAGGAACCGGGAACGCUUCUCGGCCCGUUCCUUGGUGGCAUGGCAAGUGGGUGCCCAAGAAGGAAGGGUCGAGCUCAACACGUUUGCAGAUGAUGUCCCCUCAGCCUUCAACAUCAGAAGAGCUGACAUCCAAUUCACCAAGUUCCACCCAGAAGACUUCUUCAUCACUUGCUCCAACCAGGGUGAUCGAGACGCAAUUCUUCGCCAGCUAAGACUUGCCAUGGCUUCCGGGAGAGUGUAUGUUUUUCGUCCUUGGGACGAAAGCCUGCACGGCGUCGAGGCAAGGUUCCGGUACCGAGCACGAGUAUGCAUUGAGGGGAUCCCAAUGCAUGUGCGAACUGAUAAAGCAGCGGCUAAGGUGAUAGGCCGGAAGUGCUCCAUUCACUAUGUUGAAGAGUACUCUCGCCGCCGCAACUACAACCGGACCUUCGAUUUGUGGAUUUGGACGGAUGAGCCGAGAGCUAUCCCGCGUGGAGGUACCUUCGCUAUUACCUCUGCUGAUGAAGAAGGACUGGCCACAGACAUUCCUCUGCCAGACCUUGAACCACUCCGCAACCCGCCGCCGUCUGAGCCGAAGAAAGGGUGGACAUACAAUGUCUUGGUUCAUGUUGACACCUUGGAAGAUCUCCUCUCUCACAAAGCUCGAGCUUACAAGUGGGAUUAUGAU
rnacentral:lncRNA from 1 species